AAGAUGCAGAGCCCUCGGCCCAACAGAUGACAGGCACCAGAGGGAAGGUGAGCCCGGUGAGGAAGGCAGUGCACAGACUUCUAACGCGCAGUCCAACGUGACAGGGACCCUGCCUGAGAUGUACACAGCCUCACAGGGCCGAAGCCAACUCACAGUGAGGUGACGGACACAGUUUGGUCCUCUGGAGCUGCCCUUGUAGGUGAUCUCCGAGUAUUGAAAGGAUCAGCAACGAAGCACUGAGCUUUUUGGAUUGCAGGUGCCAUCCAGGUAACCCUUGGGAGCAGAUGAGCAUUGGAGGUGAGUCGGGGAGGCAGCAGGAGGAGCGGGGAUCCACUGCAGCUUUAGA